rnacentral:rRNA from 1 species
CAAUAGCGUAUAUUAAAGUUGUUGCAGUUAAAAAGCUCGUAGUUGGAUUUCUGAUCGAGACAUCAGGUCGGGUCCGAGAGGAUCAUGUACUUUGAUUUUGUUUUGAUCAUCCUUGGGGAGAGCAUUUCUGGCAUUCAGUUGUCGGGAUUGGGAUCCUCAUCGUUUACUGUGAAAAAAUUAGAGUGUUCAAAGCAGGCCUCGGCCUCUGAAUACAUUAGCAUGGAAUAAUAAGAUAGGACUUUGGUGGUCUAUUUUGUUGGUUUGCACGCCAAAGUAAUGAUUAAUAGGGAUAGUUGGGGGUAUUCGUAUUCAAUUGUCAGAGGUGAAAUUCUUGGAUUUAUGGAAGACGAACUACUGCGAAAGCAUUUACCAAGGAUUUUUUCAUUAA